CAACUUUCAACAAUGGAUCUCUUGGCUCUGGCAUCGAUGAAGAACGCAGCGAAAUGCGAUAAGUAGUGUGAAUUGCAGAAUUCAGUGAAUCAUCGAAUCUUUGAACGCACAUUGCGCCCCUUGGUAUUCCAUGGGGCAUGCCUGUUCGAGCGUCAUCUA
rnacentral:rRNA from 2 species